AUACGGAGGUGCAAGCGUUGUUCGGAAUUACUGGGCGUAAAGCGCGCGUAGGUGGUCUGUUAUGUCAGAUGUGAAAGUCCACGGCUCAACCGUGGAAGUGCAUUUGAAACUGGCAGACUUGAGUACUGGAGGGGGUAGUGGAAUUCCCGGUGUAGAGGUGAAAUUCGUAGAUAUCGGGAGGAAUACCGGUGGCGAAGGCGACUACCUGGCCAGAUACUGACACUGAGGUGCGAAAGCGUGGGGAGCAAACAGGAUUAGAUACCCUAGUAGUCC
rnacentral:rRNA from 1 species